rnacentral:rRNA from 1 species
GUCGAGCGGACAGAUGGGAGCUUGCUCCCUGAUGUUAGCGGCGGACGGGUGAGUAACACGUGGGUAACCUGCCUGUAAGACUGGGAUAACUCCGGGAAACCGGGGCUAAUACCGGAUGGUUGUUUGAACCGCAUGGUUCAGACAUAAAAGGUGGCUUCGGCUACCACUUACAGAUGGACCCGCGGCGCAUUAGCUAGUUGGUGAGGUAACGGCUCACCAAGGCGACGAUGCGUAGCCGACCUGAGAGGGUGAUCGGCCACACUGGGACUGAGACACGGCCCAGACUCCUACGGGAGGCAGCAGUAGGGAAUCUUCCGCAAUGGACGAAAGUCUGACGGAGCAACGCCGCGUGAGUGAUGAAGGUUUUCGGAUCGUAAAGCUCUGUUGUUAGGGAAGAACAAGUGCCGUUCAAAUAGGGCGGCACCUUGACGGUACCUAACCAGAAAGCCACGGCUAACUACGUGCCAGCAGCCGCGGUAAUACGUAGGUGGCAAGCGUUGU